AUGGCGGAAGCUUCUAGAACCUCCGAGGCGCGCCGCGACGCCGUGUUCGCGCGGUGGGUGAUUUUCUCGCCGGCGCGCUCCCGUCGCCCCACCGACCUCAAGUCCCACGGCCCGGCAAACCCUAGCCCCGGCCCCGACGAUGGCGCCCCCAAGCCGUCCUGCCCCUUCUGCCUCGGCCGCGAGUCCGAGUGCGCGCCGGAGAUAUUCCGCGUGCCGCCUCCCGACGCGUCGCCGCCGUGGCGGAUCCGCGUGAUCGAGAACCUCUUCCCAGCGCUGCGGCGCGAGGCGGCGCCGCCCGCACCGGAGGACGAGGAGCCCGUCGGCGCGGGGGAAUGCGCCGUGAGGGGGUUCGGGUUCCAUGACGUGGUCAUCGAGACGCCGCACCAUGAAGUCCGGCUCUGGGAUCUGGACGCGGAGGGGGUCCGCGACGUCCUGCUUGCGUACGCGCGUCGGGUGCAGCAGCUGGCCGAGCACCCAGCGGUGAAGUAUGUUCAGGUGUUCAAGAACCAGGGGGCAUCUGCCGGAGCUUCAAUGGCACACUCACACAGCCAGAUGUUGGGAACUCCUUUUGUCCCUCCAUCUGUUACCUCCCGGCUUAACUGCAUGAAGGAGGUCUUCGAGAGGUCAGGAAAGUGCAGCCUCUGUGUGGUUCCGUCCAAGGAUAUCUUGGUCAGUGAGACGCACAAUUUUUCUGCAUUUGUCCCUUUUGCAGCUUCUUAUCCAUUUGAGAUAUGGAUCGUUCCGCGGCAACAUAGCUCCUACUUCCAUGAAACAGAUCAGGAUAAGGUAUUGGAUCUUGCGGGUCUGUUGAAAAGCAUGCUUCAUAAGUUGUGUAAGCAACUCAAUGAUCCCCCAUUCAACUAUAUGAUCCACAGCGCACCGUUUGGACUCUCCUCAUCUUGUCUACCUUACACGCACUGGUUCCUCCAAAUAGUGCCACAGUUGAGUGUAAUCGGUGGAUUCGAGAUGGGAAGCGGGUGCCACAUAAACCCAGUUUUCCCUGAAGACGCUGCAAAAAUUCUGAGGGAAAUCGACGGCUCAGUAUAG
rnacentral:rRNA from 1 species